CUGCUCUCCCAUCGGUGAGGAUGUGGAUUAUGAAGUCUUGUUUCCCUUCUGUUGUUGCAGGACGCCUUGGGUGAUUCAGAAAUGAGCAGUGGGAGCGCUCGGUGAUUUUCAGAGGAGGAAGACAGCAGCCAGCAAGGCCCCAGCUCCCUGCCAUCUUGAGCCCUUCCUGGUGAUUUGCAGCAGCACAGAUAAUCAGAUUUGCCCUUCGUCUUUAGUUGUUUCAUAAUCCUGCAGCUCUCCAUUUCAUCUUUACAAGACUAGAAUCUCUAUUUUCCUGUGAACAGGGAAAAAAACCCACCACCAUAAAAGGCAGUUCUUUUAUAUUCCAAUCUCUAUUUCCUUGUUUAAAUAAACUUAGGGCACAAAAGCUCA